AGUGGCAGACGGGUGAGUAAUGUAUAGGAAUCUACCUAGUAGUACGGAAUAAUUGUUGGAAACGGCAACUAAUACCGUAUACGCCCUACGGGGGAAAGAUUUAUAGCUAUUAGAUGAGCCUAUAUUAGAUUAGCUAGUUGGUAAGGUAAUGGCUUACCAAGGCAAUGAUCUAUAGCUGAUCUGAGAGGAUGAUCAGCCACACUGGAACUGAGAUACGGUCCAGACUCCUACGGGAGGCAGCAGUGGGGAAUAUUGGACAAUGGGCGAAAGCCUGAUCCAGCCAUGCCGCAUGAGUGAAGAAGGCCUUUGGGUUGUAAAGCUCUUUCGGUGAGGAAGAUAAUGACGGUACUCACAGAAGAAGUCCUGGCUAACUCCGUGCCAGCAGCCGCGGUAAUACGGAGAGGGCUAGCGUUAUUCGGAAUUAUUGGGCGUAAAGAGCGCGUAGGCUGGUUAGUAAGUUAAAAGUGAAAUCCCAAAGCUCAACUUUGGAAUUGCUUUUAAAACUGCUAACCUAGAGAUUGAAAGAGGAUAGAGGAAUUCCUAGUGUANAGGUGAAAUUCGUAAAUAUUAGGAGGAACACCAGUGGNGAA
rnacentral:rRNA from 1 species